rnacentral:rRNA from 1 species
CUACGGGGUGCACCAGUGAGGAAUAUUGCACAAUGGGGGAAACCCUGAUGCAGCAACGCCGCGUGGAGGAUGACGCAUUUCGGUGUGUAAACUCCUUUUAUAUGUCAAGAAAAUGACGGUAGCAUAUGAAUAAGCACCGGCUAACUCCGUGCCAUCAGCCGCGGUAAUACGGAGGGUGCAAGCGUUACUCGGAAUCACUGGGCGUAAAGGACGCGUAGGCUGGUUGGUAAGUCAGGUGUGAAAUCCUACAGCUUAACUGUAGAACUGCACUUGAAACUACCAACCUAGAGUAUGGGAGGGGGAGAUGGAAUUAGUGGUGUAGGGGUAAAAUCCGUAGAUAUCACUAGGAAUACCGAAAGCGAAGGCGAUCUCCUGGAACAUAACUGACGCUAAGGCGUGAAAGCGUGGGGAGCAAACAGGAUUAGAUACCCGAGUAGUC